AGGGUGGGGCAGCCAGGUCUAGCCCGCAGGGCUCAUAACCCUGAGAUCGGUGGUUCGAAUCCACUCCCCGCUA
rnacentral:tRNA from 1 species